rnacentral:rRNA from 1 species
CAGUCGCCGCGGUAAUACGUAGGUGGCAAGCGUUGUCCGGAAUUAUUGGGCGUAAAGGGCUCGCAGGCGGUUUCUUAAGUCUGAUGUGAAAGCCCCCGGCUCAACCGGGGAGGGUCAUUGGAAACUGGGAAACUUGAGUGCAGAAGAGGAGAGUGGAAUUCCACGUGUAGCGGUGAAAUGCGUAGAGAUGUGGAGGAACACCAGUGGCGAAAGCGAGUGCCUGGACCCUUUCUGACGCUGAGACGCGAAAGCCAGGGGAGCGAACGGGAUUAGAUACCCGUGUAGUCCCUGUCUCUUAUAC